CCUACGGGGGACAGCAGUGAGGAAUAUUGGUCAAUGGGCGAGAGCCUGAACCAGCCAAGUCGCGUGAAGGAUGACGGCCCUACGGGUUGUAAGCUUCUUUUGUCAGGGAGCAAUUGGGUUCACGCGUUGGCUUAGCGAGAGUACCUGAAGAAAAAGCAUCGGCUAACCCCGUUCCAGCAGCCGCGGUAAUACGGAGGAUGCGAGCGUUAUCCGGAUUUAUGGGGUUAAAGGGGUGCGUAGGCGGAAUAUCAAGUCAGCGGUAAAAAUUCGGGGCUCAACCCCGUCGUGCCGUUGAAACUGAUGUUCUUGAGUGGGCGAGAGGUAUGCGGAAUGCGUGGUGUAGCGGUGAAAUGCAUAGAUAUCACGAAGAACUCCGAUUGCGAAGGCAGCAUACCGGCGCCCAACUGACGCUGAAGCACGAAAGCGUGGGUAUCGAACAGGAUUAGAUACCCUUGUAGUC
rnacentral:rRNA from 1 species